rnacentral:tRNA from 1 species
GCUCGCGUAGCUCAGUUGGAUAGAGUGUUCGCCUCCGAAGCGAAAGGGCGCAGGUUCAAGUCCCGCCGCGAGUA